CGGUGAAAUUCCAAUCGAGCCCGGAGAUAGCUGGUUCUCCCCGAAAUAGCUUUAGGGCUAGCCUCAAGGGGAGAGAUACGGAGGUAGAGCACUGAAUGUCCUAGGGGGUAUUGCACCUACCGAAGACUAUCAAACUCCGAAUGCCGUCAUCUUAUACUUGGGAGUCAGACUGUGGGUGAUAAGAUUCAUAGUCGAAAGGGCAACAGCCCAGAUCGUCAGCUAAGGUCCCUAAAUGUAAGUUAAGUGGUAAAGGAUGUGGGAUUGCACAGACAACCAGGAUGUUGGCUUAGAAGCAGCCACUCAUUCAAAGAGUGCGUAAUAGCUCACUGGUCGAGUGAUCCUGCGCCGAAGAUUUCCGGGGCUAAAACUUACUACCGAAGCUACGGCAUCAGUAAUGAUGGGUA
rnacentral:rRNA from 1 species